CCAAAAUAACAAAAAAAGAAAUCGAACCGCCAUUUUGUACAGUUUUGCGAGUGAUUUGUUUACUGAUAACCACUGUUAAUUUCUACUAAUUGAUACAGCAUUCUAUAAUUUUACGCUAGUUAAAAUAUUAUUAUAGGGUAUAGCAGCCAACAGUUCUGAUAACGAAAUGGAUAACCAAAGAGAGAAAGAACGCGACCGUUCAAAGCGUGGAGACAGGCCUUCCAGGUUUUCAGAUGCUCAAAGAGACCGAUCUAGUGACCGCGAAUCGCGGUCAGAUGGAAAACGCUUGUUCGUGUCCAACAUUCCAUACGAGUUUCGCUGGACUGAGCUAAAAGAUUUAUUCAAGGAAAAGGUUGGUGAUGUGGCAUACGUAGAGCUAUAUAAUGAUGACAAUGGGAAACCACGAGGGUGUGGUGUUGUUGAGUUCAGUAACACUGAGGCCAUGAAGAAAGCUCUCUUUGUUAUGCACAGAUAUGAACUCAAUGGAAGGAAGCUAGUGUUAAAAGAAGAGACAGGUAAUGAACGCAACAGGGUUGGGUCUGCCAGACAAGGUGGUGGGGGCGGUGGUGGCGGCAACAGGAACAACAGGGAUGAUAUUAAAGAUGGUUGGGGUAUGAUGAAACCGCGCGAACCUGAGAACUUCAACACGUACGGCCUCAGUCUCGAAUUCCUCGACUCCAUUAAUGUUCAGCCGCCGCUAGUGAAGAAAGUUUUCGUUGCCAACCUUGACUACAAAGCGGAUCGUGCCAAAAUAAAGGAAAUCUUCAAAAUGGCGGGUAAAGUCCGCAACAUAGACUUGGCGGUAGAUAAGGAUGGCAACAGCAGGGGAUUCGCCGUUAUUGAGUACGACCAUCCUGUUGAAGCCGUGCAGGCAAUAUCCAUGUUCGACAAGCAAAUGUUACAUGAACGUCGAAUGACAGUCCGAAUGGACCGAGGCAAUUCAGAAAAGUCAGAAUUUAGGCUGCCCGAGGGUCUAAAAGGCAUCGGCUUAGGCUUAGGACCUAACGGCGAACCACUAAGAGAUGUAGCGAGGAAUCUGCCUCAGAACUCCAAUGGGCCGAAUUUGAACAUGAAUAAUAGUAACUCUUCGCUGGGGACGGGAGUACUGGGGGCCGUGCCCACCGCCAGCGUGGCCCUCAACGGGCUAGGGGCUGGUCUAGCGGCUAACCCACUCACCACCAACACAUUAGGAGGAGGAUUGGGAUUACAGGCUCUAGGUCUAACCGGGCUAGGCGCCCUCCAGAACCAGCUCCUCCAGCAAGGUCUGACCGCCAGCGACCUGGCCACCAUGCUCACGGCGCAGGCGCAGGCGCAGGCGCAGGCCCAAGCGCAAGCGCAAGCCCAGGUGGCGCAUUCGGCCGGUGUCGGGGUCAAUGUGAACAGUGGCCUGAACCUGAAUAAUGACUUGAGCGCGCUCGGGAAUAAUCCUCAUAGUAAUGUCAUGGGAGGAAAUUCUUCUAUGAGCAGCGGGCCGCUUUCAGCUUCAAGCAGACAAAUGGUGGGAGUGACCGGAUCUGGACAGGGCUACGGCCGGGACUCCAGCAUCGUCCAGCAGAGCUCCCGCGACAAGUCGUCCGACAUGGUUGCUAUCACUAAUCUGCCGCCGACGGUGACGUGGCAGCUGAUCCGCGAGAAGUUCAGCGAGUGCGGCGACGUGAAGUUCGCGGAGAUGACCGGCGCCGACUCCGCCAUCGUGCGCUUCCACAAGGAGUGGGACGCCGAGCGGGCCAUCAAAAUGUUCGACAGGACCCGUAUUGACGGAAGAACUAUUGACGUCCGAUUUUUCUGAGACGAAGAAACAAGGUUACAAGAUGGAUUAAAAUAAAUGGAACUGACCAUUCCUUUGACCUCCAUUUGACCGCCAAAGAUGUCAACUGUCGGGCGCGGCUACAGAUUCACUUGCGCACACGAUAGCCGUGGGAUUUAAAGGGUCAAAAUUGACGGACCCGCCUUAUUUGGUAGAUGGUUAACAGAGGAUACGAUGCCCAAGGAGAUAAUACGAGGGGCGACUGUAAAGUUCUAAGCCUAAGGUACUUCGAGGUUGCAUAUGCGUUAACAGACCACUAAAAAUACCAUUUAAAAAGGAAAUUAUAAAAAAUAAAACAAAUGUCAUUUAUUUUAUUAUGUCUCGUGAUAUUCAAGGAUAUAGUUUAUCAUGUGUUUUCAACGCAUAUUAUAACUAUGAAAUUGAAGUCUGUAAAAAAUUGAGCACCGUGCUGUAAUUAAGUUCCUCACGAAAAAUAACAAAUCACCGCAAAGUAUUUUUGACGAAAAGCAAAGGCAUUUUGUUUUUGCAACACUAACGCACCCGUUCACACCGCUCGUGUUGCCAAGCUUGCUCUGAAGGAAACCGGCUUCAAAUAAAUUUACCACCUACCCUACAGUUUAGAUCUAUCCCGUAGCGAUUAUUUCCUAUCCAGUAAUUUGAAGAGACUUAAGAGGAAAACGAUUUGGAAGUGAUGAAGAAAUGAAAACAGCUGUACCUACAGGAACAUUAUGACAGCCAAUAAAAACUAACGUUCUAAAAGCAUUUCAUAUAAAAAAAUAUAAAUGCAUUGAAUUAUAGGGAGAUUAUUGAAAAAUAAAAAUUAGUUAAAUUUUAUUCAAUAGUUUUUUCUAUCUUAGGCUUAGAAAUUUUCAGUCGCCCCUCGUAUGCUCGCGUUGCUGCAAGCAAAGGUUACUCCAUUACAUUCUGGCUAGCAUGGUGAUAUUUUGAAUAGAAGUGUAGUUUUUAUUACCUAUAUAAUUUAUUUUUAUUACGAUUAUAUACCCACUUUUUCUGAUUAUUA